CCUUGACAUACUAAGAACUUUCCAGAGAUGGAUUGGUGCCUUCGGGAACUUAGAUACAGGUGCUGCAUGGCUGUCGUCAGCUCGUGUCGUGAGAUGUUGGGUUAAGUCCCGNAACGAGCGCAACCCUUUUCCUAUUUGCCAGCGGGUCAUGCCGGGAACUUUAAGGAUACUGCCAGUGACAAACUGGAGGAAGGCGGGGACGACGUCAAGUCAUCAUGGCCCUUACGGCCAGGGCUACACACGUGCUACAAUGGUCGGUACAAAGGGUUGCUACCUCGCGAGAGGAUGCUAAUCUCAAAAAAGCCGAUCGUAGUCCGGAUCGCAGUCUGCAACUCGACUGCGUGAAGUCGGAAUCGCUAGUAAUCGCGGAUCAGAAUGCCGCGGUGAAUACGUUCCCGGGCCUUGUACACACCGCCCGUCACACCAUGGGAGUUUGUUGCACCAGAAGUAGGUAGUCUAACCGCAAGGAGGACGCUUACCACGGUGUGGCCGAUGACUGGGGUGAAGUCGUAACAAGGUAGGCGUAGAUGA
rnacentral:rRNA from 1 species